AAGCGUGCGCAGGCGGUUUUGUAAGUCUGUCGUGAAAUCCCCGGGCUCAACCUGGGAAUUGCGAUGGAGACUGCAAGGCUGGAGUUUGGCAGAGGGGGGGUAGAAUUCCACGUGUAGCAGUGAAAUGCGUAGAUAUGUGGAGGAACACCGAUGGCGAAGGCAGCCCCCUGGGUCAAGACUGACGCUCAUGCACGAAAGCGUGGGGAGCAAACAGGAUUAGAUACCCUGGU
rnacentral:rRNA from 1 species